CCAGACGGCUGGAUGGCCGCUCGCCCGCGUCGCGAGGCGCGGGCGGGAGGAAAGUCCGGGCUCCACGGAGACACGGUGCCGGGUCACGCCCGGCGGGGGCGACCCCAGGGAAAGUGCCACAGAGAAGAGACCGCCGUAGCGGUGCCGGUCGCGAGGCCGGCGCUCAUGCGCGGCAAGGGUGAAACGGUGCGGUAAGAGCGCACCGCGGCCCCGGCAACGGGGACGGCACGGCAAACCCCACCGGGAGCAAGACCAAAUAGGGGCGGCACGGGGGCUUCGGCCUCCAAGCGCGUUUCCGCGCCGCUGCCCGGGUCGGUCGCGCGAGGCGCCCGGCGACGGGCGUCCCAGAGGAAUGGUCAUCGAGCGGCCCCAGAGCGGCGGGGCCGCGGACAGAACCCGGCUUACAGGCCGUCUGGCGCC
rnacentral:RNase_P_RNA from 1 species